rnacentral:lncRNA from 1 species
GCUGAAACUGACCUUGUGUUAGUCCUGUGUGGCCAGUGGUCCCUUCUGCAGACACUUGCCUUUGACCUGUCUGGGGCCCUCAGCCGGCACCUGGGAGCCAAACUUUGACCUCUGUGACACCGCGCUCCUUGAUAGCCACCCACUCCUGCUUUUGCUUCUUCCCGCCUGGAAGAGGCAUGCUCGGGAGUCUCAGCCGGAGCCCUCGAGGCUUCUCUCUCCACACUCCCUCCUUUAGAGACUCUGUCCUUUCAAAGAUGGGCUGGCUGCUCCUGACUCUGUUCCAUCUCCCUGUCCAUCCUUAAGCCCCAAUCCUUUAGAGACUCUGUCCUUUCAAAGACAGGCUGACUACUCCUGACUUUGCCCUGUCUCCUUGUCCAUCCCCAAGCCCCAAUCCCUCAGAAAAACAUUAAGAAUAUCUUUGUGGCUGCAGUUGUGCAGAGCUCUGCGACCAGCAGGAGUUACUGUAGCUGUCAGAGUACCAGAUUUAAGGAGACCUUAGAUAGGGGCUUCCCUGGUGGCUCAGCUGAUAAAGAAUCUGCCUGAAGUGCGGGAGACCUGGGUUCGAUCCCUGAGUUGGAAAGAUCCCCUGGAGAAAGGAAAGGCUGCCCACUCCAAUACUCUGGCCUGGAGAAUUCCAUGGACUGUAUAGUCAAUGGGGUCACAAAGAGUUGGACAUGAUUGAGUGACUUUGACUUUCACUUCACUAUUAUAGAGUCAGGUGAAUUAGAGUCUUCAUUCCUGCAGAUUGAAGCAACUGCAAAUCAUUUGUUUUAUGUUUGUUUUAUCGUUUGUUUGGUGUAGAAUCAAGUAGGCUUCCCUGGCACCUGGAAGACUUUUUAGAAGGACUGAGCUGACAUGUCCAUUAGUCUCUUUGUAAAUGAAGUUUUUUCCUUUCUUUUCCAGCAGCAAAUAUGGUGCUUUGGACUCUUGGCAAGAACACUGGCAAAAUUCCAACGAGCCAGUCUUUUUGGAAGACUUUGAUCCCGGCCAACAUGGUCUACUCUUUCAAUUAAAAAAAUUAAAAAGUGAAGAAAAAGUCACAGUAUAUUAUGAUUCUCAGCAUUUCUCUUACAAGGACAAAGCAAAAAUGGAAUGA